rnacentral:misc_RNA from 1 species
UACGGGGAGCACAGCAGUGGGGUACUGGACAAUGGAAGCCUUUCAGUCCAGCCAUCCUGCGUGGCGUUGAAGACCUUCGGGUUGUAAACGCUGCGGCAGGAAAGAAACGGCUGCGGAUAAUACCCCAUUACGCAACACGACAAUACCUGAGUCAGCGCAGCUAACUACUGCCAGCAAUAACGGUAAUACGUAGGGUGCAAGCGUUAAUCGGAAUUACUGGGCGUAAAGCGUGCGCGGGCGGUUCGGAAAGAAAGAUGUGAAAUCCAGAGCUUAGCUUUGGAACUGCAUUUUUAACUACCGAGCUAGAGUGUGUCAGAGGAGGUGGAAUUCCGUGUAGCGAUGAAAUGUGAUGUGGAGGGAACACCAAAUGGCGAAAAACAGCCUCCUGGGAUAACACUGACGCUCAUGCACGAAAGCGUGGGGAGCAACAGGAUUAGAUACCCGGGUAGUCCCUGUUACCCGCAGUGUCCC